CCUAAAUAAUACAAUUUUAACAUGAAUGUUCCAGCCUCGUACAUCGGCCGUGUUCACUCCUGUGCAGUGUCCAUCACUUCUUUCCCCUGUUCUCAGGCCCCAUGUUUCGGUGCCAUUUUCCCCGUCCAGCCUGUAUCAGUCCUACAGUGCAGGGGCCAUCUAUUCCGGUCUGAUGUCUUUG
rnacentral:lncRNA from 1 species